rnacentral:snRNA from 1 species
GUGCUCGCUUCGGCAGCACAUAUACUAAAAUUAGAACGAUAGAGAGAAGAUUAACAUGGCCCCUGUGCAAGGAUGACACACAAAUUCAUGAAGCAUUCCAUAUUUUU